AACACAAACUGACGUGCAAGACGUCAACUAAAAAAGAAACAUCAGAAAUGAAAAAAAGUGCUCUCGGAAUCGACCCCGUAUAUUAAGAGGGAGAUAAGUGGUUAAAAAAUAAAUAAAUUGAGUUCACAUUCAUCUUUUGUGUAAACGUGCGGGCAGCAUAUGUUCGUUUCACCUGCUCUCAACAGUCUAAAACACGGGAAUUAAACACCUGCUUUGGCGCGUGCUGAACUCGCUGCUGCUUUUUUCCCUCGACCUCAAGAACGAACGUUCACUCACUUUUAUCUCGGCGAACAUCACCUGGGCACACGCUGCAACUUUGCCCUUCUGGUACCAAGUGGUUGAUACGAGAAAUGCGAGUAAUUCCAGUCAUCAAAAAGAAAAAUUUGGAGGAUAACGAUAAGGAUAAUCUCAUUGACUUGAGAAUAGUUUUCAGUCAAUUAAAACGUAAAAUGCGCUUUGCGUUAUCAAAAACAACUUCAUCUUCCAAAGUCCCGUCCUAAUCUAAGUAGCAGCCUCAUCAAGGAGUACGUACCUGGUAUUUGCCUUUUGUAAUAGACCAAAGGAAACAAUAUUUUACAACAAAACUGCGAAUCAAAACAAAAAUUAUUUACAAGCAAAUAAAAUAUUUCUGACCGCCGCGACGUAUCUUUAUCAGUUUGUUAUCUUCGGAACAAUUGUCUUGCAAGAAAUCAGACACGAGUUUUUGUUAUUUUGUGACGUCUUUCCUUUGGUAAAUAAUAAUAGGUAAAGUAAACUGUGUAAUUACUCAUCGUCCAGAAGUAUUAACGCAAAUGCGACAUCUAAUAGGAAGACAAUGGAAUAAUGGCGUCGCAUAAUCUCAAAACAUUUAAUGUCGCGGAAGGUACGUUGUUGCAUAAACGUAUAGUUUGCGGUGGCUUGUGCUUUAAAAGCUACGCUUUCACGACUCGAGAUGACAGUCAACAGACCGAAAAUAUUUUCAUAAUAACCAGAAAUUCACGAAAUGUAUGCUAUUAAUAUUGAGAAACAAUAAACAAAGCUAAUCUACAAAACCUAAAAUAAACCUAUUUUUCGAGGAGACUUCGUAGUCAUAAAGAUGUGAUCUAGGUUCCUUUUCUUCUACUGCCA